rnacentral:rRNA from 1 species
UACGUAGGGGCAAGCGUUAUCCGGAUUUACUGGGUGUAAAGGGAGCGUAGACGGAAGGUCAAGUCAGGUGUGAAAGGCAUGGGCUCAACCCAUGGACUGCACUUGAAACUGGUCAUCUUGAGUGUCGGAGGGGCAGGCGGAAUUCCUGGUGUAGCGGUGAAAUGCGUAGAUAUCAGGAAGAACACCGGUGGCGAAGGCGGCCUGCUGGACGAUUACUGACGUUGAGGCUCGAAGGCGUGGGGAGCAAACAGGAUUAGAUACCCUGGUA